rnacentral:misc_RNA from 1 species
UAUCGAUGUCGGUUCGAGCCACGCCAAAGAGGUCUAUGUGGCAGUCAUUGUGGCAAUGUGGACACUGUUCAUCACCAUCAGGCAUCCACAUCAUUCCAACCAAGAGUGGGGUUAAUCAAAGCUGGUCUUAGCCAUUUCCAGCAUGUCUACACAAUGUGGGGUGACCUCAAAAGGACAUUGUCCAAAUUUUCAGGGGCUAAUUACCCUAAUAAGGACCCAUAUAGGGCAAAGGUAAUUUUAGCUCCAGAGGCAACAGAGGGUGGGUUUCACUGUCGGUGGGUGGUAGGGCUUUCUGCUUGGGCUAAUGGUGCUCAACCUCCUCAUCCUCCUUCCUUCCUUCCAAAAGCCCUAUCUUUUCAAAAGUCAGCUUCUAUUGCUAUUAUCCUGAAUGGGGCUCUCCUUGCCAUGCCAUUGCUGUCUAGCUUCUUUUUGGAAAAUUAAAUAAGUGGGGAGAA